UAAAUAUUCCCUCCAUCUGAAAAUACUUGUCAUCAAAAUGGAUAAAAAGAGAUGUAUCUAAAACUAAAAUACGUCUAGAUACAUUUCCUUUUAUCCAUUUUGAUGACAAGUAUUUUUGGACGGAGGGAGUAUUUG
rfam:Triticum aestivum genome assembly, contig: Triticum_aestivum_CS42_TGACv1_scaffold_513284_6BS